UUGGAGGGCAAGUCUGGUGCCAGCAGCCGCGGUAAUUCCAGCUCCAAUAGCGUAUAUUAAAGUUGCUGCAGUUAAAAAGCUCGUAGUUGAAUUUCGGGAUCAAUAUGUCGGUCGUGCUUCAGUACGUACUGGCUUAUUGGUUUCUCCUUUCUGAAGAACCAUGAUGUCAUUUAUUUGGUGUCGUGGGAAAUCAGGACUGUUACUUUGAAAAAAUUAGAGUGUUUAAAGCAGGCUCACGCUUGAAUACAUUAGCAUGGAAUAAUGAAAUAGGACGUUUGAUUCUAUUUUGCUGGUUUCUAGGAUCGACGUAAUGAUUAAUAGGGAUAGUUGGGGGCAUUAGUAUUCAAUUGUCAGAGGUGAAAUUCUUGGAUUUAUUGAAGACUAACUACUGCGAAAGCAUUUGCCAAGGAUGUUUUCAUUAAUCAAGAACGAAAGUUAGGGGAUCGAAGACGAUCAGAUACCGUCGUAGUCUUAACCAUAAACUAUGCCGACUAGGGAUCGGAUGAUGUUAAUUUUUUAAUGACUCAUUCGGCGCCUUACGGGAAAC
rnacentral:rRNA from 1 species